UGUAACGUUCCUCCUUCUCUCUCACCAUUACACACUUGCCGUCGUAAGCCGCAACGUUCCAGCUGUACCUAAUCCUCUCUCCCUUCUCAUACCGCUUCAUUAAUUCCACUUGCGAUCGUCUGUCAGAAUACUCUCAAGGGCAUAAAUGAAAAUGAAUUCCUCUCAAGGGCAUCUCCCAAAGGUGGAGAUGUGAAGCAAAUGGGAUCCGUGUCCAGAUAAGUAUUCAUAUUUGAAUUUUUCCGAUAUAUAGGAUUUGAGUGAUAUAUAGCAUUGCAUCAUCGCCAGAGACUUGAGAUCCAGUCUGAAAAGAAUCUCAUCGAGGAUAUUGAAAGGCGUAAAGAAACUUGGUUGACACGACAUACAAAAAAAAGAAAGAAGACACUAUUACUAAUUGAAAGGUUUCCUUUUGUAUUCUCUACCAUUGAGACAUGAAUUGUAAGUUUUUCUUUUGUAUUCUCUUGUUCAUUCGGAGGAAGGUUAAAAAAAAAACUCA